rnacentral:lncRNA from 1 species
CCUUCCACCAUAAAUAAAAGCUCCCUGAGGCCACCCCGGAAGUGGAAGGAUGAUGGUGCCAUGCUUGUAUUCCCUGCAGAACGGAUGAUGAAGAAGUAUCUACUCUGGAAUUACUUCGUACAAAAAAAGAAGGUGGAGAACUGUCAGAGAAAUCAAAACAAAGACCUGAUUGAAAAAAUAUGAGAAAUUAAGUGGCCAUAAAUCACUAUGUUCAAAUGGUCUUCAUCUAAAACUUCUGAAAGAGU